GAUGAAGAACGCAGCAAAAUGCGAUAAGUAAUGUGAAUUGCAGAAUUCAGUGAAUCAUCGAAUCUUUGAACGCACAUUGCGCCCGCCAGUAUUCUGGCGGGCAUGCCUGUUCGAGCGUCAUUACAACCCUCAGGCCCCCGGGCCUGGCGUUGGGGAUCGGCGGAGCCCCCCGUGGGCACACGCCGUCCCCCAAAUGCAGUGGCGGUCCCGCCGCAGCUUCCAUCGCGUAGUAGCUAACACCUCGCGACUGGAGAGCGGCACGGCCACGCCGUAAAACACCCAACUCUUCUGAAGUUGACCUCGAAUCAGGUAGGAAUACCCGCUGAACUUAAGCAUAUCAAUAAGCGGAGGA
rnacentral:misc_RNA from 1 species